CGCGAAGAACCUUACCUGGUCUUGACAUCCCUCUGACCGCUCUAGAGAUAGGGCUUUCCUUCGGGACAGAGGUGACAGGUGGUGCAUGGUUGUCGUCAGCUCGUGUCGUGAGAUGUUGGGUUAAGUCCCGCAACGAGCGCAACCCCUAUUGUUAGUUGCCAUCAUUCAGUUGGGCACUCUAGCGAGACUGCCGGUAAUAAACCGGAGGAAGGUGGGGAUGACGUCAAAUCAUCAUGCCCCUUAUGACCUGGGCUACACACGUGCUACAAUGGCUGGUACAACGAGUCGCAAGCCGGUGACGGCAAGCUAAUCUCUUAAAGCCAGUCUCAGUUCGGAUUGUAGGCUGCAACUCGCUUACAUGAAGUCGGAAUCGCUAGUAAUCGCGGAUCAGCACGCCGCGGUGAAUACGUUCCCGGGCCUUGUACACACCGCCCGUC
rnacentral:rRNA from 1 species